GGGGGUGUUCACACAGGAAUAAUCUCAGUUUUUCCGCCCUAACUCAGCAUUGAGUGCUUCUAUCCGCAGCUCCGACCUGCACCUGGCUUCGUGAGGGCUCCCCCGGCGGGGCGGCGGCAGUCACGGCCGCCCCUCGGGGCCUCUGGGACGGGGCCAGGCUGAAGUCCUAAGGCCGCCUCUCGGCGUGGGGGGAGCUUGGUUUUGUUGUCUCCGUGAAGGUGGUAAACGUAAACAUUUUUUGUACUUCAUCUAUCGUUAUCAGAGUGUGUGAUUUAUUUUUUUCCUUUUCCAGAAUGGGGAUUUUCAGCGUAGAGGCCGGACAAGUAAUAUCUCUGUGAAAGGGAACAAAGAAAAACAACGCCUUUGUAAGAAAUGGAGAUCACACCUACCUCACUUGGCCCCAGAUGCUGAUGCUUUUCAAGUGCUCCAGAGGACUGCCAAAGAGAAUUGCAGCCAGACCUGCCACUGGGUCCAUAGUAAGAGAGGAUUUUGGCAUCCUGAAGCCUCAGUCAUGCCAUCUCCACCAGUCACAGGGUGAUAGGCAAUAUCCCCUAGAAGUAACACCAUUUUAAGCGCAUACAGUAUUUUUCAGGACUUAGCCUCAGGGAAAAUCUCUGCCUAUCUAAAGUUGUGGUGAAAAGGAGGCAUUGGCCUACUGGAAAGCCAAGGAGGAUGCUUAAGAUGUGUAGUGGGGUGUGCAUCUUGAGAGUGUUAAGGUGUCUGGAACAGUGGUCAGCUUAGGACCACUGAUCAGGGACAUCCAAAGAUCCUGUGAACAGAAAGGUAGCAACAAAAAGUAACAGACCUUGCAAGAGGUGACCAUCAAGGCACGAGAAAUGAGAUAGGACAUGAGAGGACUAUACUUACUUCAGACAUCCAGAGAAGGAUUAAUCUGGAGCAAAAUUCAGGUGGAUAAAGUUAAAAGAAAAUGGAUAUACUACAAAAAGAAGAAUGUAUUGAAGGCAUGGAAAAAAUGCAUAGCAGGGGCUCCAGUCUGAGAUACGAGGUUGCUUGCCAGCAGUGCCCAUGAAUAAUGAGAUGUGCAGAGCAACUACAGGGCAAGCCUGCAGGCAAGGGUUGGGUUCAAACAAAGGGGAAAUGAGUGCUUGCACACUGAAGCAGACCAGAGUGGGCAUCACCAGGCUUGCUGAAUAUAGAUGAGGGGGAGAGAAAGAGAUUUUCUGUAAGACCAGAAGUGUGUCACUGCUGACUUUUAUGUCCUCAGAAUUUCCUCCAGCACUUAGCUAACUGGUCUGAUGAGCAAUGCAGCCUCUUGCCUUCCCCCGUGAUCCUCCUUCUUGCCGUAACUGUAAAUGACUUGAGGCAACGAGACAGUGUGACAUUGCAUUAAUGCACAGCAGGUCCAGGACCAUGAGGUGAAGAUCACUACUGGGUGUGCUCAGUGACUCUGAGAGGAAUAUUUCUGGCUAUGCUGUCAGGACCCAUGUCCUGAGACUGGCCACUGAGUAGAGAUGUGCAUGGGAAGAUGACUGCCCCUUCCAUGCAGGAGCUACCAGGGCUUAUCUCCUAUCCUGUGCCAGGACAACUCCCCCACCCGCUUCUUUGAGGACACCUCAGCAUCUUUCCAGUAGCAGCAUGAGACUGCAGAACUUAUCCCACAGGUGUAGUCUUCUCGAAUAACAAAGCUGAGGUGUGAAGGGAGAGCUGUGUCUGUCAGGAUGCUCCUCCUCAUGGAGUCAGGGUGACAAUGUCCAAGGCACAAAGGGAAGCCAUGAGUGGACAGCAAGAUGACUCUUCCUCCUGGCCAGCAUCACUGAUCCAUCACCAAACAGAGAGGAAGCUGCGUUCGCCUAAGAGGCUCGUGGUACUUCAUUUCCCCUCAGAGCAAGGAUGACCAAGUAGUGAGACCUGUAGGACCAGCUGCAGGAGCAACAGGUUCCCUUCCAUUUGUGAUGUGUCAAGCUCCUCUUUUGGAAACAUCCUAAGUUUUAGAGAAAUCUUGAUGAAAGCCAGAGAAAAAGCAAAGAUUUGCACCAGUCAUCACGUGUCAAACUUCUCUAUUCACUAAGACUUUUUUUGCACUGUUAAUAGCUUCUGUGUUUAUUUAACUUGCUUUCACUUAUUUAUUGCUUUUCUUUUACAAAGAAGCAGUUAUUAAAACACUGCCAGCACAAUAAUUUUCUUAAAGUUUAGUCAUAUUGCCUUUUGAACUGUGUGAUACUUCUGAAGCACAAAAGAGUUAAAGAAAAAUAAACAGAUUACUGCAACUUUCUGCAUUUCAAAACAGAGGUAAAUAACAGCUGUGCAGAGCUCAAGUCCCCUUCCAAUAGUUAGCUGCUUUAGUGAAGGGGAUGAACUGAGUGGAAACACUGCAGCAGUCAUCUUUUGGCUUUUCCUCCUGCAAGAAGUUUUCUGACUCCAGCUCUGAGGAUUACACUCUUCUUGAUCAUGACAAUAUUUUUCUUACAAGAACAAAGAUGAGGGCAGAGAGUGAGGCACGCUGCUUGGAUCACUGGGAAAGGAUGGUCCAUGCUGUCCAUAGUGUCUCCUGAAGACAGCUACCUCAAACAGCUGUCUACUUUAGCUAUACCCAGAGCCAAAUGGUUAUUUCACAGACUGAUGGACUAUUGAAAUAGUGCCCCACCUUUUAUGCUACUCUGCAUUGAAAGAGUGUAUAGAAACAACUGACCCAGCCAGAGGAUAUACCAGCUAUAGGGAGACUGGCACUUCUGGGCAAGGGGAUUGUGCUGGUCCAUGAUACUGCUCCUUGCAGCAUCCUCUGCAGAAGCGUUGCUGGAACACUGUAUUACUGUCAAAUGUGGCACUCAGUGCAGAGCAGACUGGCAGGCUGCUCUAAACUGUGUCAGGGCUCACUUGCCACUCUUCAACAGACAGUGGGUCCACUUAGUAGCUAAAUAUUUUGGUUCUUCCCUGAUGAAUGCCAGAGCCUUAUUCUUGUAAUCUACAGUCUAGACUAUUGUAGUCUUUGCUCAUUUUACAUUUGCUUCCCCCAAGCCUUUUCAGCCUCUGCUCAUGCAAUUUCCAUUGACUAUGCAUAAGAUAUGUGCAGAAUCUAAACGUUCCUUAGUGUAUUGGCUGGAAAUGUUUUAAUUAAAUGGAUCUCAUACUCCAUCUCUCCUUCUGGCUUUUAAUGAAAAUACUUGCUUUUGGUUCCAAUUCAGAGCAGGAGCACUGCUGAAAUAUUGAAAAUGUUAAUGGAUUAGCAAAGCGUAUGCUCGGUACUCUUUCAAAAAUAUGAAUGUCUUAUUCACCUUUAAUUCAGCUCACUGCGAAGACAAGAAUGAGGGGGUCUUGUUGUGGAUAAAGGUGUUCCAGCAUGGCCACUGUUGCUAACUCCAGGUGCAAGCAAAUCCUUACAAAGCUGGCUGCAACAGGACUCUCUUUCUGGGCAAACAGGGACCCUCAUAACACAGCCCCCUAACAUCCUGAGGCAAGGAAAAUUUUCUGCCUGCCUUGUGCUCUCCAAGUGCACUGGAUACUGAGAGUGGUAUUCAUGUCACCUGAUUUUACCCAUCUAUAAAUUAUUCAUUUGCUCUAAGCUAAUCAGCUAGGCACUCUCAAUAGUCAAUGAAGAGACACAGAAGCUGACCAGACACGUUCAUACCACUAUUUAAGAUGGCUUGCAUCAACUCCUUAGGAUUCUUGUUUCUCUCCACUGACUUCUGGGAGAGCCCAGACUACUGUAACUGUAAUGACAUAUUAUUAGCCCAUUUCCUUUUUGUCCACCCUCGUAUUGUGAGAAUUACAAUAAAAGUAAUACUUUAUUCCUGUAUAUAAACCAGCAUCCUUUGAUGACUAGCCGGGGACAGCUGUGCAAUUCUGCUCUAUAUAACCGCACAUACACAAGUAUUAAUUAUUUCUAUAUUAAGAAAUAAGUAUGACAUGAGUUAACAGUAAGGCUUUCAUCCAAGUAUGUAAGGGGAGUUUUCUGCUGGUAGCAUUGCUGUUAACCAAGUAUAUUAACUGAGACAUUUCAAUUAUGUUAAUUAGUUAUUUCCUAAUUAUUUGGCUUAUCACUUUAUAAAUUGUCAUGCUGUUUUGUGGAGUGAGAACAACAGUGUGACUGUG